GGUGUAGCUGGNCCUAAUUAACUUGGGGGCAUGUGCACACCUUUCUCUUUCAUCCCAUACACACCUGUGCACCUGUGAGACAGAUGUUUUCUAGAGGGGAAGGAACUUUAUUGGACCUACUAUUCUUGGACCUCGCUGACUACUUAUAUAAAAUAACCUCUUAUUAUUUUAUGAUGGAUGUGGAGGAAGCAACUCUUCUAAUACUAUUCUACAACGACGCUUUUGUUGCUUCUCUCAUUGAAGAACACCGCGAAAAGCUGCAAUAAAUGUUGAGAAUAGAAUACUUCGAAGCAUCGUCUCUUCGAUCGCCCCAUCUUGUCCUCGUUGUUCUUUGUAGCAUGCUUGCUGGAUUAUCAUGAUGUCUUCUUCGAAGACACACCUUUUAACUCCUCUGUUGCUGCUUUUUUGUUGUUGGACUACUGUUGCUUCUCCCCUGCUGCUCCUCUUGGAUUAUUAGCUGCACCUCGGUGUGAUGGUUGCCNCCCCUCGUGGUGAUAAAUUNUUUAUNGNUGACAACACCCUGUUAANAAGGGGNGACCGAAGUUGAUGAUGAUCANCCNCUACUAGCNGAUCCUCUUCUACGACUAUUAUUAAUUUGAUCAGAUCACCUCUCAUCAAGGACUACUACCCGAUCUUCUUCAUCUUAUNAAUAGG
rnacentral:misc_RNA from 1 species